rnacentral:rRNA from 1 species
CAGCCGCCGCGGUAAUACGUAGGGUCCGAGCGUUGUCCGGAAUUAUUGGGCGUAAAGGGCUCGUAGGCGGUUUGUCGCGUCGGGAGUGAAAACCAGCAGCUUAACUGCUGGCCUGCUUUCGAUACGGGCAGACUUGAGGCAUUCAGGGGAGAACGGAAUUCCUGGUGUAGCGGUGAAAUGCGCAGAUAUCAGGAGGAACACCGGUGGCGAAGGCGGUUCUCUGGGAAUGUUCUGACGCUGAGGAGCGAAAGUGUGGGGAGCGAACAGGAUUAGAUACCCCGGUAGUCCCUGUCUCUUAUAA